AGCUCCAAUAGCGUAUAUUAAAAUUGUUGCGGUUAAAACGCUCGUAGUUGGAUAUCUGGUAAGGGCUUUCGGUCCACCCGAGUGGUGAAUACGCGGAAGUCUUCUUAUCAUUUGUUCAGGGAACGUGUUUGCACUUUGUUGUGUGUCACAUGAUCUGGAUUUUUACUUUGAGGAAAUGAGAGUGUUUCAAGCAGGCUUUUGCCAUGAAUAUGAUAGCAUGGAAUAAUAGCAUAGGACCCUUUCCAAAGCUGUUGGUUUUUGGAACGAGGUAAUCAGAAUAAGGAUAGUUGGGGGUAUUCGUAUUUAACUGUCAGAGGUGAAAUUCUUGGAUUUUUUAAAGACGAACUAUUGCGAAGGCAUCUGCCCAGGAUGUUUUUG
rnacentral:rRNA from 1 species